CGAGCCGGCCGGGCGGUCGCGUCGGUCCUCUAACGGGGACCGCCGAGGAAGGUCCGGGCUCCGCAGGGCAGGGUGGUCGGUAACGCCGACCCGGGGUGACCCGCGGGACAGUGCCACAGAAAACAAACCGCCGCCGGCCGCGCGGCCUUCGGACCCGUCGGCCGGCGGUAAGGGUGAAACGGUGGUGUAAGAGACCACCAGCGCCUGGGGUGACCCAGGCGGCUAGGUAAACCCCACCCGGAGCAAGGUCAAGAGGGUUCGCGGUCUCCGGGCCGCGAACCUGCGCGAGUGUCUGAGGGCGGCCCGCCCGAGCUCGCGGGUAGACCGCACGAGGCUGUCGGCAACGGCAGUCCUAGAUGGAUGGCCGUCGGCCCGCGUUCGCGCGGGCGCACAGAACCCGGCCUACAGGCCGGCUCGCCCG
rnacentral:RNase_P_RNA from 1 species